rnacentral:rRNA from 1 species
UACGGAGGAUCCGGGCGUUAUCCGGAUUUAUUGGGUUUAAAGGGAGCGUAGGUGGAUUGUUAAGUCAGUUGUGAAAGUUUGCGGCUCAACCGUAAAAUUGCAGUUGAAACUGGCAGUCUUGAGUACAGUAGAGGUGGGCGGAAUUCGUGGUGUAGCGGUGAAAUGCUUAGAUAUCACGAAGAACUCCGAUUGCGAAGGCAGCUCACUGGACUGCAACUGACACUGAGGCUCGAAAGUGUGGGUAUCAAACAGG